rnacentral:lncRNA from 1 species
UUUAAAUGACUUCUAUUAUUUAUUUGUAGUUUAAUUAUUUUUGAAUAUGUGACUGCUUCAACUAUUUUUGUAGGAUUCUGUUGGAUCAAGUAUUCUUAAUGUUGGACCAAGUGAUGUACCAAGUACUUUAAGACCUAGGGGGAGGCCAAGAAACACUCUUCCUACUACUACUGAUGCACCCCCUAGACCUAGGGGAAGGCCAAUAAAAAC